UGAAACUUUCGUUCUAGAGAAGUAACGGUGGUAUAGGGAACGUAUCCAAUGACGGUACUUUAAGAAAGCCACGGCUAACUACCUGCCAGCAGCCGCGGUAAUACGUAGGUGGCGAGCGUUGAUCCGGUUUAUUGGGCGUAAAGAGGGAGCAGGCGGCACUAAGGGUCUGUGGUGAAAGAUCGAAGCUUAACUUCUGUAAGCCAUGGAAACCGUAUAGCUAGAGUGUGUGAGAGGACCGUGGAAUUCCAUGUGUAGCGGUGAAAUGCGUAGAUAUAUGGAGGAACACCAGUGGCGAAGGCGACGAUCUGGGCGCAUAGCUGACGCUGAGUCCCCGAAAGCGUUGUGAGCAAAUAGGAUUAGAUACCCUAGUAGUCCAGGCCGUAAACGAUGAGUACUAAGUGUUUGGGAGUCAAAUCUCAGUGCUGCAGUUAAACGCAAUAAGUACUCCCGGCUGGAGUACUACCGUGUCGCAGGAAUG
rnacentral:rRNA from 1 species